rnacentral:rRNA from 1 species
UACGUAGGGUGCGAGCGUUGUCCGGAAUUAUUGGGCGUAAAGAGCUCGUAGGCGGUCUGUCGCGUCGAUCGUGAAAACUUGGGGCUUAACCCUGAGCUUGCGGUCGAUACGGGCAUGACUGGAGUUCGGCAGGGGAGACUGGAAUUCCUGGUGUAGCGGUGGAAUGCGCAGAUAUCAGGAGGAACACCGGUGGCGAAGGCGGGAUCCUGGGCCAGUACUGACGCUGAGGAGCGAAAGCGUGGGGAGCAAACAGGG